rnacentral:rRNA from 1 species
GCGCAGCAGUCGAGAAUAGUCUACAAUGGACGAAAGUCUGAUAGUGCGACGCCGUGUGUGCGAUUAAUUCCUUCGGGAUGUAAAGCACUUUUCUAUGAGAUAAAAGCUCUUUAGGUUAAUAGCUUAUUGAGACGGAUAUUAUUAUAGGAAUAAGCUCCGGCUAACUCCGCGCCAGCAGCCGCGGUAAUACGGAAGGAGCGAGCGUUGUCCGGAUUUACUAGGCGUAAAGGGCUAGUAGGCGACUAAUUAAGUUAUAUGUUAAAUCCCACGGCUCAACUGUGGUCCUGCAUGUAAUACUGGUUAGAUAGAGUACUGUAGAGGAAGGCAGAAUUCCUGGAGUAGCGGUGGAAUGCGCAAAUAUCAGGAAGAAUACCAAAAGCGAAGGCAGCCUUCUGGGCAGUUACUGACGCUGAAUAGCGAAGGUGUGGGUAGCGAACAGGAUUAGAUACCCGUGUAGU